UGUAGUCAUAUGCUUGUCUCAAAGAUUAAGCCAUGCAUGUCUAAGUAUAAGCAAUUAUACAGCGAAACUGCGAAUGGCUCAUUAUAUAAGUUAUCGUUUAUUUGAUAGUACCUUACUACUUGGAUAACCGUGGUAAUUCUAGAGCUAAUACAUGCUAAAAAUCCCGACUUCGGAAGGGAUGUAUUUAUUAGAUUAAAAACCAAUGCCCUCUGGGCUCUCUGGUGAUUCAUGAUAACUUCUCGAAUCGCAUGGCCUUGCGCCGGCGAUGGUUCAUUCAAAUUUCUUCCCUAUCAACUUUCGAUGUUUGGGUAGUGGCCAAACAUGGUUGCAACGGGUAACGGAGGGUUAGGGCUCGACCCCGGAGAAGGAGCCUGAGAAACGGCUACUACAUCCAAGGAAGGCAGCAGGCGCGCAAAUUACCCAAUCCCGAUUCGGGGAGGUAGUGACAAUAAAUACUGAUACAGGGCUCUUUUGGGUCUUGUAAUUGGAAUGAGUACAAUUUAAAUCCCUUAACGAGGAACAAUUGGAGGGCAAGUCUGGUGCCAGCAGCCGCGGUAAUUCCAGCUCCAAUAGCGUAUAUUAAAGUUGUUGUGGUUAAAAAGCUCGUAGUUGAACCUUGGGCCUGGUUGGCCGGUCCGCCUCACCGCGUGUACUGGUCCGGCCGGGCCUUUCCCUCUGUGGAACCCCAUGCCCUUCACUGGGUGUGGCGGGGAAACAGGACUUUUACUUUGAAAAAAUUAGAGUGCUCCAGGCAGGCCUAUGCUCGAAUACAUUAGCAUGGAAUAAUAAAAUAGGACGUGCGGUUCUAUUUUGUUGGUUUCUAGGACCGCCGUAAUGAUUAAUAGGGACAGUCGGGGGCAUCAGUAUUCAAUUGUCAGAGGUGAAAUUCUUGGAUUUAUUGAAGACUAACUACUGCGAAAGCAUUUGCCAAGGAUGUUUUCAUUAAUCAGGAACGAAAGUUAGGGGAUCGAAGACGAUCAGAUACCGUCGUAGUCUUAACCAUAAACUAUGCCGACUAGGGAUCGGACGAUGUUAUUUUUUGACUCGUUCGGCACCUUACGAGAAAUCAAAGUGCUUGGGCUCCAGGGGGAGUAUGGUCGCAAGGCUGAACUUAGGGAGU
rnacentral:rRNA from 1 species